rnacentral:rRNA from 1 species
CGGAAUCUGCCUAUUUGUGGGGGAUAACGUAGGGAAACUUACGCUAAUACCGCAUACGACCUACGGGUGAAAGCGGAGGACCUUCGGGCUUCGCGCAGAUAGAUGAGCCGAUGUCGGAUUAGCUAGUUGGCGGGGUAAAGGCCCACCAAGGCGACGAUCCGUACCUGGUCUGAGAGGAUGAUCAGCCACACUGGAACUGAGACACGGUCCAGACUCCUACGGGAGGCAGCAGUGGGGAAUAUUGGACAAUGGGCGCAAGCCUGAUCCAGCCAUGCCGCGUGGGUGAAGAAGGCCUUCGGGUUGUAAAGCCCUUUUGUUGGGAAAGAAAAGCAGUCGGUUAAUACCCGAUUGUUCUGACGGUACCCAAAGAAUAAGCACCGGCUAACUUCGUGCCAGCAGCCGCGGUAAUACGAAGGGUGCAAGCGUUACUCGGAAUUACUGGGCGUAAAGCGUGCGUAGGUGGUUUGUUAAGUCUGAUGUGAAAGCCCUGGGCUCAACCUGGGAAUUGCAUUGGAUACUGGCAGGCUAGAGUGCGGUAGAGGGUAGUGGAAUUCCCGGU